AGUGAACGCUGGCGGUAGGCCUAACACAUGCAAGUCGAACGGCAGCACAGUAAGAGCUUGCUCUUACGGGUGGCGAGUGGCGGACGGGUGAGGAAUACUUCGGAAUCUACUUUUUCGUGGGGGAUAACGUAGGGAAACUUACGCUAAUACCGCAUACGACCUACGGGUGAAAGCAGGGGAUCUUCGGACCUUGAGCGAUUGAAUGAGCCGAUGUCGGAUUAGCUAGUUGGCGGGGUAAAGGCCCACCAAGGCGACGAUCCGUAGCUGGUCUGAGGGGAUGAUCAGCCACACUGGAACUGAGACACGGUCCAGACUCCUACGGGAGGCAGCAGUGGGGAAUAUUGGACAAUGGGCGCAAGCCUGAUCCAGCCAUACCGCGUGGGUGAAGAAGGCCUUCGGGUUGUAAAGCCCUUUUGUUGGGAAAGAAAAGCAGCAGGUUAAUACCCCGCUGUUCUGACGGUACCCAAAGAAUAAGCACCGGCUAACUUCGUG
rnacentral:rRNA from 1 species